UCAUUAUCGGGAGCAGUGUCUCCCAUAAUGU
rfam:Takifugu rubripes WGS project CAAB00000000 data, contig_11660